CCGCACAGCAGUGGAGUAUGUGGUUUAAUUCGAAGCAACGCGAAGAACUUACCAGGUCUUGACAUCCAACUAACGAAGUAGAGAUACAUUAGGUGCCCUUCGGGGAAAGUUGAGACAGGUGGUGCAUGGUUGUCGUCAGCUCGUGUCGUGAGAUGUUGGGUUAAGUCCCGCAACGAGCGCAACCCUUGCUAUUAGUUGCUACGCAAGAGCACUCUAAUAGGACUGCCGUUGACAAAACGGAGGAAGGUGGGGACGACGUCAAAUCAUCAUGCCCCUUAUGACCUGGGCUACACACGUACUACAAUGGCCAUCAACAGAGGGAAGCAAAGCAGCGAUGUGGAGCAAACCCCUAAAAAUGGUCUCAGUUCAGAUUGCAGGCUGCAACCCGCCUGCAUGAAGUCGGAAUUGCUAGUAAUCGCGGAUCAGCAUGCCGCGGUGAAUACGUUCCCGGGCCUUGUUACACACCGCCCGU
rnacentral:rRNA from 1 species